rnacentral:rRNA from 1 species
UACGUAUGGGGCUAGCGUUGUUCGGAAUUAUUGGGCGUAAAGGGCGUCUAGGCGGGGAAUUAAGUUAGGUGUGAAAUCCCUGGGCUCAACCCAGGAACUGCAUCUAAAACUGGUUCUCUUGAGUUCGGGAGAGGAGAGCGGAAUUCCCGGUGUAGCGGUGAAAUGCGUAGAUAUCGGGAAGAACACCAGUGGCGAAGGCGGCUCUCUGGCCUAGAACUGACGCUGAAGCGCGAAAGCGUGGGGAGCGAACGGG